rnacentral:rRNA from 1 species
GACGAACGCUGGCGGCGUGCUUAACACAUGCAAGUCGAACGGACAGGCGCUGCUCUUGUGCGUUGCUCGAGUGGCGAACGCGUGAGUAACACGCGAGUAACCUGUCCUUGUCUGUCGGAUAACUUCACGAAACUCCGGAUAAUACCGCAUAGGAGCUCCUGCACCAUGUUGUUCGUUGGUAAGUGUCGGCGGUUGGGGAUGGACUCGCGGCUUCUCAGCUUGUUGGUGGGGUAGUGGCUUACCAAGGCUUCGACGGGUAGCCGGCCUGAGAGGGUGACCGGCCACAUGGGGACUGAGAUACGGCCCAGACUCCUACGGUAGGCAGCAGUGGGGAACAUUGCACAAUGGGCGGAAGCCUGAUGCAGCAACGCCGCGUGCGGGAUGACGGCCUUCGGGUUGUAAACCGCUUUCGCCUGUGACGAAGCGUGAGUGACGGUAAUGGGUAAAGAAGCACCGGCUAACUACGUG